UUGGCGCCCCAGCUCUGGGAGUGCUGCCUGCAGAAAGCCUUCAGCCAUCAGCUGCCUGCACAGAAUGCCUCAGGAGAAGAGUGAUGCCUGGCCCAAGGUCAUGCCACACAUCCAAAGACACAUCCACUGACCAAUAUGGUGGCACAGAGGCCCAUCACACUGGCCCCAAAUGGGGGACAACUCUGUGCUCCCUGUGGGGUGGGCUGAGGUCCAUGUUGAGACUGCAUGAGAGCUCAACUUCCUUCUCUGCCCCCUCCUCCCUUGCCCUAAAUAAACCUCCUGCCAUCACCUCCACCUCACAGCCUGCUUCCCAGGGAGCCCAACCUGCAACGGAGAAUGAGGGGUGGACUGGAAGCAGGACUGGGGAAGAGGCAGGCCAGCUCACAUGCACCGCAGAGGAUGGUAUAAUAAUCUUAGAACACGAGAAGCUUCGGCAAGGUUCAAGCAAACAGUUACAAGAUCUUUUGAAAAGGUCCCUCUGGCUGCCAUGGGGAAAAUGGACUGCAAGGGUGAGAUUGACAGCAGCGAGACAGAAGGGAAGCUACUGCAGACGUCCAGAUGAGGUGAUGGCAGCUGGCAGGGUGGCGGUGCUGAGGGAGAAACGUGCAUGGGUCUGAGGAGUCCUUUGACCCGCCUUGGUCGUGUGCUGGAGAUGGGAAAUGGAGAAGAGGGUCAGGGAGGAGGAGGUGACUCCCAGGUUCCAGCUUGCACAACUGAGCGGCAGGCCCAGCGUGUGUCAGCAGGGACUCUGCUCAUCGUAGUCACCCGGGGGCCCGGCUGAUGGAGGCUCCAUCUUGAAACCAGCUCCCACGAUUGCCUGGCAGGGAAGGGGGCCUGGGCCCGGCACACGGGCUCCUUGGGUUUCUGUCUCACGUUUUGCAGGCAAAGCAAGUGACAUGGCCUCGCCUGACUUCAAAGGAGGCAGGGAAGGACAAUGCUGCCCUGGAGCCCACAGAGGAAGAGAGCUGGGAGCUGAGAAAAGAGGAGGAGCUGAGCCAAACACUGCUGAGGGCCAGUGACAUGAGGACUGGAAAAUGCCCAUUGAAUGAGGAGACGUGGGUCCUUGGUGACCUGACAAAGAGGUGUUUGGAG
rnacentral:lncRNA from 1 species